CUAAUUCAAUUAGACUUGAUGCGAGUCCCAUUGCUCAAUCAAAUUAAAUCAAUUAGCAAUCCUAUUGCUAAUUAAUCCUCCUAUAACUCACUAACUCUUUAGUGAGUUACUUAAUUGCAACUUUUAUAUUAGAUUAAUCAUCAAUCAAAUUGAUAAUUAAAUCCUAUCAUGAUUCAUAAUCAUAAUUCAACCAUCUAAUCAGUCAAAAAUCUCUUUGUGUGUGACCCC
rnacentral:lncRNA from 1 species